rnacentral:lncRNA from 10 species
AAAAGUUCUGAAUGGAUUCAUACCAAGAUUCUAUCUCAUGAUCUAAUAUGGGUGCGGAAGCUCCAGUCAUCAUGACUGCUUUCCAGCCAGCAGGAAGAAAAGAUGAGAGGAAAAGGAGGGCACUUCCAUUCUCCAAAAUGCACAACCUAGAGACUGCACACAUCAUUUCUGAGUACCCUACAAUGACUGGACCUUAAUAUCCUGCCACCACAGGUGCAAAAGAAGCCGAAAGAUGCUGUCUUGUGUUGAGCAACCAGGUGCCCAGCUAGAACCUAGGAUGAUAUUGUUAAUAGAAGGAAAGGGAAUGAAUACUGGGGGCAGUUAGCACUUGCUUCCCCACUUUUGCAAGACCCCCCUCUCUGUGUUAAUCUCCUUACAAGUCAAUUUCCCACCACACAAGCGGCUGCCUCCUCUGAACUUAGUUCAUGUCUC